rnacentral:rRNA from 1 species
GACGAACGCUGGCGGCGUGCCUAAUACAUGCAAGUAGAACGCAGUUGCGAACGGGUGAGUAAUGCGUAGGUAACUGCCUCAUAGCGGGGGAUAACUCUUGGAAACGAUAGCUAAUACCCCAUACUGCGAGAUGGACCUGUGUUGGAUUAGCUAGUUUGUGAGGUAAAGGCUCACCAAGGCCACGGUACAUAGCCGAGCUGACAGGGUGGUGCGCCACACUGGGACUGAGAAACGGCCCAGACUCCUGCGGGGAGCAUGAGUAGGGAAUCUUCGGCAAUGGACGGAAGUCUGACCGAGGCACGCCGCGUGAGGGAAGGAGGUUUUCAGAUCGUAAAGCUCUGUUGUUAGAGAAGCGGUAACUAAAGAAGAAGGGACGGCUAACUACGUGCCAGCAGCCGCGGUAAUUG